rnacentral:rRNA from 1 species
AUUGAACGCUGGCGGCAGGCCUAACACAUGCAAGUCGAGCGGAGCGGCCGACGGGUGAGUAAUGCCUAGGAAUCUGACUGGUAGUGGGGGAUAACGUCAGGAAGCGGGCGCUAAUACCGCAUACUAUCAGAUGAGCCUAGGUGGAAUUAGGUAGUUGGUGGGGUAAAGGCCUACCAAGGCGACGAACCGUACCUGGUCUGAGAGGAUGAUCAGUCAAACUGGAACUGAGACACGGUCCAGACUCCGACGGGAGGCAGCAGUGGGGAAUAUUGGACAAUGGGCGAAAGCCUGAUCCAGCCAUGCCGCGUGUGUGAAGAAGGUCUUCGGAUUGUAAAGCACUUUAAGUUGGGAGGCGUUACCCACAGAAUAAGCACCGGCUAACUUCGUGCCAGCAGCCGCGGUAAUAC